GUUCCUAUGGUCUAGUGGUUAUGACGCUUCGUUGUGGUCCCGAAAUCGGCCGGUGGCUCGUGUUCGAUUCACGAUGGAGACA